UUUUACGCGUUUACCUCUCAUUAAUCUUUCCAAAGUAUAAAGAAAGUCAUCCAGUCAUCUGGAUUUGAGUGGCUCCUGUCCACUCUGUUUGACGCCUCCCUGUUAAAGACUUCAGAGCCGCAACCGUGCGGCUCUUUUUUU
rnacentral:sRNA from 1 species